GGUAGCGUGGCCGAGCGGUCUAAGGCGCUGGUUUAAGGCUCUUCAAGUUUAAGGCUCAGUCUCUUCGGAGGCGUGGGUUCGAAUCCCACCGCUGCCA